CACCACAAAAAUUUGAAGGUUUGAGUCCAAAUUUACACCAAAUAUUUUUAUAUAGCCAAAUCUUCACUGAUCAAUAUAGAGGAAGAGCUUAAAACAGUCAUCUUCAUCGUUCCUCCCCAAUUUGAUCUCCUAGGCAGAUAAGCCUCACUCUGAUCCUCAUAAUCUUCACAAAGUGGCAGAUAGAGACAUGUCUUCCAUUGAUGCUUGUGUGCCUACUUUACAUGCUUGUAUCCAAGAGUAGACAUCCGUUGUCUCAAGGAAUUUAAUUAUCUAACAUUUGUUCUAACAGAUGAAGUGCAUGUCGUUAGAGUUGGUUGCAUGUACUAUAUAUGUGGACAUGUGAGCACGUGUUAACUUGGUUUUUAAUAUUUACCUUCCCAUCUUUGGACAUGUGAGCAUGGUAUUGUAAUGCAGUUCUUCAACGAAUGGCCCACAAUAGUGCUUGCCCUUUUGAACUCAGCCAUAUUCAAAAUCAUCACAUGCUCACAUAUUCAGUAAGGAAAGCAAUAGAUUGACAAUUAACUUAUUUCGAAAACAGUGGAUUGUGCUUCUUCAGUUCACCAUCAUAUUCAAUUUUGUGAUUGUAUGCUGCUGUUACAUGGUAUUGGUAAAAAAUUCCUUCAAGUGUUCAUGGUAUUUUUAAUUUAGCAUUCAUGGUUGAAAAUGAUAAGCUAAUGCUUUGUAGCUCAUACGUGAGCUGUAGUGUCGUCCUGCAUUUAACAAAUGUUAAGGACAAUUUUAAGUGCAAAGUUACAAUAUUAUCAACAUUUUGCCAUCAUGUUUUUCUUCUCUUUGCAUGUGAAUUUUUUUGUUCAAUAAGAUACAUGUAUCCUUCACAACCGAUAUUGUUAUGUGAGUGGUCUAAGUUUUUUAAUCCUUCCAGUAGUAGCCAUAACUUACAAAUCUUCCACUGAUGAUUACAGAGGACCACGAAGGGCUUGCAUAUUGCACUGGAUACUUCAGCUUGCAGCAGGUGUUGUGAAGAGUUUCAGUGCACUUCGUAGUUCAUGGAUCAAGAAUUUCAUUCUGGCUUUUGCGUCUUCGGUGUUCUCUUUCUAUUUUGAGACGUUGUUUGUGUUGGGGCAUGAGAAAAUUUGUGUGUUUUUAAGGGCUUAUGUGCUAUUACUAUUCUCUCUAUGGUGUACGAAUCUUUAAAGUGAAUAUGAUCUUUGUAUUGGUUUAGUUGUGUAUUGGUUAUUGAUAAAAUUUUUGUGAGAUAUUGAGGUUAAGAUAAUAUGUAUUGUUCGUUUUCGUGCAAGCAUUGUGCACUAAUAUUUUAUUUCUCUAAAUUGCUUCAGUUGCUCUACCUGUUUUAGAGGAUUCAUCUUUAGAUGGGUUGAAUGUUGUCAUAAUACUUAUCCAUAUGUAAGUAAUGUAGAAAUCAUGCCACAACAUAUAUCCUCGCAACAUAAAAGAUAAAAUGGUUAUAUUUGUGAGUUAAAAUAAUUUUGAUAGUCACAACUCAUUGUCCCCUUAUGACAGGCUUAGGAUCUCCUUUUUAUAAUUUUCACCCUGCAAUACAAAAUUAUUCUAUGGAGGUCAUGAUACAUCGUCAUAUAUUGUAUUACCAACUUAGGCUGAGAUCUCUGAUAAGAAAAAGUACCCACAACUGUACAAGAUGGUUAUAAAGCAUAUGAUGCAUGGACCGUGCGGGUUGCUAAAUCCUAAAUGCCCAUGCACUAAGGGUCAUCCUUCAUGCAAACAUACAAAAGACUUAUCAAUAUCUCUACAAAGGAAUAUAUUAGUGUACGAUUGUCGAUAUAUUGUUUGUUUUCAUGUAAUUGUUGUGCACUCGCGUUUUAUUAAUAAUUUGUGAGUCGUCGCAAAUCGUCGCAACGCAGAGACACCGAACUAUCAUAUAUAUAGGUCUGCAUGAUAUUGAUGGUUGCAAUGUAGUGGUAAAACAGGUAGAUUAAAAUAACAAAAUGUAUAUGUAUAGCCAGGAUCACCAAUGAAUUACAAAAUCUUUUUUCAUAACAAUAUAACACAUUUAUAUAUAAGUUAUCAUGAUAUUAAUAUGUUCCCAUUGCAACGCACGGGAACUAACCUAGUAAUUAAUUAAUUUAUUACCUCCUUUCGACGAACCAGCCGGCACCAAAAGAUGGAUCACCGUGCACGGAGCGUGCGUCCGUUGCGGGAAACGACGGGGAUCUAGGCGACGCCGUGACGGUGAUGCUCCCGUUCACGUUUCGCAGCUUUCGCUGCACCCCUUUGAUUC
rnacentral:lncRNA from 1 species